CGUCGCCAACCCCACGGCCGCACUGCUGGCGGCGUGCAUGAUGCUGGACCACCUGCGGCUGCACAACCACGCCUCCACCAUCCGCCAGGCCGUCCUCGCCUCAUUGGACGACCCCCGGACACACACGCCCGACAUCGGGGGACAGGGCACGACCUCGGGGGCGGUGCAGAGCAUCCUGUCCCACCUCGGCCGCCCCUAGGGGCGUGGCCUCCGCUGGGAGGGGCCACCGAGGGCGUGGCCUCGAGGAGGCGUGGCCUCCCGGAGUGGGAGGGGCCGCUCAUUAAUAAAUUACCCCCAAUCAGCCCCGCCUCCAGCUGUGCCACGCCUUUAUUCACACACACACAAUUAAAAGGGGGCGGGGCCUAUUGGGGGCGGGGCCUCCCGGAGGGGGAGGAGCCACUUGCCCCACCCCAAUAAGCCCCGCCCCCAGCCGUGCCACAGCUUCAUUCACACACACACAGAGGGGGCGGAGCCUGUUAAUGGGCGUGGCCCCGAGGGGCGUGGCCUAUUAGGGGGUAGCCAAUGGGAGGAGGAGCUUUAAGCCCCGCCCCUUUACAACCCACCCCGAUAAGCCCCGCCCCCGCCUCACCACCCCUCCAUUCACCCCCAUGGUGCUGGGUAGGGGCAGAGCCCGUUGGUGGGCGUGUCCCUGAGGGGGCGGGGCCUAUGGGGGGCGUGUCUAUGGGCGGAGCCAGGGGUGCUGCAGGCACUGCGCGGCGGUGGCGCGCCGGCCGGGCUCGAAGGCCAGCAUCGGGCGCAGGAAGCGCGCGAAGGCGGCGGCGGCGCCGCGGGGCCACUCG
rnacentral:lncRNA from 1 species